AGGUUAUGAAUAUGGAAGCAUAUUUACAAGUAAAAAAUCACAGUAAGUCUUCAUUAAAAUGCAUUUUCUGGUUCUUUAAUAUGUCAAACAUGCCUACUUGCAAGUUGAUCAUGAACUAUACCAGGGGUAGCAUGUGCCUGUUCCUGAGUCAGCAAUCGUUUUAAGUGUACUCCAGUGGAUUUACUUCUAAAUAGAUUGAAGUCACUCUAUUGUGUCUGAAUUACUUCUAAGGCUGUCCUCAUCAUGCUUUCCUGGAAGAGAUGCCCAUCCCAAGAGGAUCACCACCCAUAUUAGCACCACACAGCCUCAGUGCUGCCUGCCAUCAGCAAGCCACCAUGUGGGAGGACCAUGCAGCAUAGCUCCACCAGUGAAAUUCUUGCCCAGAUGAGUUUCUCCAUGGCUGGGUUGUGACUGUGAAGCUGUUAUUGCUGUUUGUUCUGCUGGGACCAAAAUUCCAAAUCUUUUGGAGAAGACAGUGUUGCAGACUCUGUGGCUGAAUGUCAGGCAUGAAACCAAAGGAUGAAAAUGGAGUGGAGGAGAAAAGCUGAAGACAAUGCCCAGGUGAGUAUGACAGAGAGAAUGUAAUAUACUUCGAGGACACGUAAUUGAUGAAGGACUGUAAUAUUUUAGUCACUGGCCAACAAGGUAAUAUUAUUAGAGUUUAUCUUUCUUGAUUAAAAAUAUGAGGGAGUUUUGACUAUAAGAAACAGGUUUGGCUCUUGAACCAUAACUCUCCAGUGUUUGUCUGAUGUGCAUAUUCCAUGACUAUGCUGUCCUCAAAUCAGUCUGGUUGUAGCCCACACCCCAGCUGUGAGUAGAAGUGAGCUACCACCAGCAAGAUGUCUCCGGGAAAGCAGGCAAUUCUUUGAAGGAAGACUCUAAGUGUCCACCUGGAGAAGGCGUGCUGGUGACCCUGAGUGGAGCUGUUUCCUGAAGGCUGUACACGCUCAAGAGAAAGGAACAGUUUCAGACAUGCUUCCCAGGUCUGUGCCUGAACAGUUAUUAUUUCCUAGCUCUAGGCAGCUCAAUAUGUGGGUCUGAUUGGAUUGCCAUUUUGAGUCACCUCAUUCUCCCUCUAUAAUGAUUACAGGCAUCUAAUUCUGUAUUUUCAGCUAGGAGUUGAUUGUUAAAUGUGAGGCAGAGAAACACUUGACUCAGAGACACCUCUGUCCCAUACUGGAUGUGGCCAAUGGGAAGAACAGUCCUUGCCUUCAAUCCCUGUGGGGCAGGCCAAUAGUUCAGCCAUGCAAUUCAUUUCACAACUGUGUAAAGAUCACCCCUGCGGGGCUUAUUAUAGACUAAAAGCAGAGAUUAACCUUAAAGUAGCUUGGCCAAAUUUGACCAUUGAAGCAGCAGUAGGUAUUUUAUUGUGCUUGGAAUUUGUAUCAGUUGUACAUUUCUAUGGUUAACUUACUUAUAAAAGCUUUUCCAAAUGAAAAAAAGAAGAAAAAAAGUCAGAGAAUCAUAUGGUGACUAUGAUCUGUAUGUUUCCUCUAAAUUUUUCCAACCUGAGGGAUGAAGACAUUUACAAAAUUGUAACUAAUCUGUUUUACUGAGGAGUCUUCUGCAUUUAUGGCAUUUCUGCUGGGGAUUCUACUGAGAACUUUCCAAGGUUUGGCCCCAGUGUAGUAUCAAUGAGCUCUGUGUUUGUACCAUUGCAUUGUCUGUGGAGGUGAGAUUGAACUUUUAUUUAUAUUGCCUCUGAUACUGGAAUGAUGUUUUCUGUUGUUAGUUUCUCCACACAAGGAGAAAUGAACCUGCCAGCCUAUUUGCAUCCAGUAGCAAUAAAACCCUAUUUUAAUGAGAAAAUGAAUAUUUGGACUUUACACUUCAGCCAGCAAUGUAGCAUUUCUGGCAGCUGUGCUUUUUAUUCACUCUGACUGAAACAGCUUCAAUGACAGCAGCCAGGAUCCUCCCCUUCUGUUCAGCUUUUCCAUAGAAGGCAAAAUGGAAUAGAUGUCUCUAAAGAUAGGCCAGUACUAUUUUGAGUUCUUUCCUUUUCAUGAGAUCAUGCCAAUAAACCAAAGAAAAAACCUCAUUCCUACCUUUCUCCUUUAUGAGCCAAAGCACUCUUUCAAGAAUAUAAAUUAUUUCUUCCUACCUGUUUCUUCAAAUUCACAUUAUUCCUCUUUUAUUUUUAUUUACCCUUCUUAUCCGAAUUUUGUCACACAAUUUAAAAGAAGUGUUAGCUCUAUGUAAGAUGAGAUUUUUAGGAAAAAAGAAAAAAACACAAACAAAGGAAUGCAACAAAGCCACAAAAGAGUGUUAUUUAACUGUUAUACAAGGUUUUAAAUCUAAUGACCCACCUCACAGGUAGUAAAACAACAGUGAUUCAUAUCUUUCUUUGUAAGCAACAUUGCCUAAAGGGCAUUAUGCAAUUGUGGUUUUGAUAGGGUUUUUCUUUUUUCCCUUAGGCAUAAUGACUCCAGAGAGACUGAACAUAACAGUGAUCAAUUGGACUACUUUCUUUUCAAUUCCAGUUUUACACAACAAAGAGAUGUGCUGAUUUCAUUUGUCACUUAUAUAUGCUUUAAGCAAGCCUGCAUUGGAAAAUAUUUGCCUGUCCAGUAAGCACCUCUGCUACUGGUGCCUCAGCACAAGUGUGUUGUUUCCCCCGAGUUAUGAGACAAGGUCAUCUGUGGUGUUACUGCGCUGAAAUAAGCAACAAUAUUGAGAGCUGUAGCCUUUUCUAGCUAAAGCUAGUGAGAAUUUUGUUGCUGGGAGCUUGCUAUAAUGGGAUACAAAUCAGGAGUUAGCAUGUUGUUUGUUGACUUUGAGCCAAAUCUAAAACAUGCUGUAAUUCUGCACCGGUCCAAAACUGCAGGCUUGAAAAGCCCCUCUUACUUGUGCCUGCUUUCCUGUUUGCUGGAAGUGUUGUGAUGCAGAUGGAUGCAGCUGAAUCUCUCAGCACCCAAAAACAACCACAGUGUAGCUGGGUCUGCCUAAUCAAGCCAGGGUUUGGGACCUGGCAAGUCCAUGUCCAGUUCCUCCACCCUGCAGAUGCUAUUGGGAUGAAAUGAAGAUGUCUGGGCAGUAUUCCAUGCCAAAAGUGGUUCCCCUUGCCUUUAAGACAUAGCCAAAGAAGAUGGUGGUAAUGAUAAUUUUCUGUCUAGUGAUGGUAUUGCUAAAUUAUCUUUCCAGCAAAUGGAUGCCCCAGGCUUACACUUUUUUGUCUGAGCAGGACAUUUAAGGCUCUUUUCCAGAUAUUUCAGUUGAGUGCCUUAAUCAGUCAUCUAGCAAACCAACAAAGAGGGCAGUUACAGCAUUAUGCUUGAAAGUGGAACAGCUGCCUCUGAUACCUUCUCCCAGGACUGUAACAUAAAUAAGGCAUUGUUUGAAUAGCAUGAAUGCUAUUCCUGUGCUCCUGUUUGAAAACAGGAUGAGUAAACCUGUCUCAGUCACUCAAAAGAGAGCCAGUAGCUACCUGUUCUUGGGAAGCUCUUCCAGGCUGGAUGUCCGAACGGAUUGCAGCCUGCAAACCAGGAGCAAAGCACCCUCCACGGGAGUGGGGGGUGUGUUUGAGACUCUCCCCUUGUAACACAGGGCACAAGCCUCAGCAGUGAUUGCUGAUGGGUAGCUCAAGACAUCUUCCUACUCUGGGACUCACAGGAUCUCUUCUGAGUCCCAUUUUCAUAGGACCACUGAGCAUACUGGGAGCUUAUGAAAUGAUUCUCAGUUCUCCACUGAUGCCAGAAUGGUAAAAACUUGGUGUUGCAGCGACCAACAGUGUGGUAACAUGGCAGAAGGGUGACUGAAGCUUCCUUGCCUCAUAGUGCCACUUACCCACAUGUAGCUGCGGACCGCCACUCCCCAUGGCAGCAGCCACAUUCUGUCCUGCAAAUUCCUAAAAGCCAAAACAUCCUAACUGAUUCUGAUCCUUUGUCCUCUCGCCCAAAAUACAGGCCUUUUGUUUUGUUAAAAUUCUGCAUAUUAGGAGCACAGGUCUCAUUGCCACAUAUUGGCCACAAUAUCCUCUUUAUAGCUACAAAUAUCUCUUUCAUAAGUAUCUUCUAAUUACCAUUAUUCUGCUUGAUGAAUAUGUGAAAGCGGUGACACACACAUUAUUAGCAUGCAACUGGAAAAGUUGGAAACCAACGUGCUGCUGAUUUUUCCCCUCACUCCUUAGGAAGGGUCUUGUAGUUCAUAGCAGUCACAAGGUGUGUAUUACAUAUCUAAAUUCUUUUGCUAAUUGCUAAAAAGAAAAAAAAAAAAUCAACAAAGAACUGAAGCUUUAUGUUUCAAGAUUCAUACAGUUCAUUUAAGAUACUGCUGACCCAGAUUUGUAUUUCUGUACUGAAUUGCUUCAAGUGAGUAAUGCACAGUCUAUUUAUAGGAUCAUUAUUAAAUCGGCACUUGCAUGGUUUAAAACACUUUUGCACUAGAUUCACAAGGGAGACUCAGGCAGUCUUGCCACACAGUGGGCAGAAAGCUUGGGUUAAUGUUCGCAGGAGUGGUAGUCUCGAGUAGGAGUAGUUUUCCAAAAGGAGUAACUGAUUUUGAGAUGCAGAUAGAGCUUGUUCUAAAACGGAAACUCAUCUGACCUGUUUUAGACUUCUGCUUUUGGGUGAGAUGAAAUAUACCCCUAGGUUACUCUUUCCCACAUUUCAUUUUCUAUGGUUGGCUUAUUGAAACCGUAAGUUUUCAACAUUUGUAGGUAGUUUAUAUAAGCCCCAUCCCAGGGUCCAAAUAGGAGCUGGGAAGUGGCAGUGUUGCAGUGCAGUAUCUUCAGUUUGUUGAAGAUGGCAGUCACCAGAUGUACUGGGGCAGUUUUCAGUGAUUAUUUCAGUAUAUGCAGUUUUCUACUAUUUUUUAAAUAAUGUAAUUGCUAGAGCAGUCAGCAUGGCAAACAUGAAGGCGAUCCUUCUGUGGGGCCUCUGAAGGCUGCCUUCUUAGGAAAUGACAGGAGCUAGGUGCUUAACUUCUCUGAAAAAUUCAGUGAGUAAAAUACAUUCUUUAAAAAAUCUAAAUGAGAGUGUUAUUUUCACAUGUAAACAAUGCACCUUGAAAGUUUGCUAACUUUGACUUCGAAGGCAGAAGCAAAAAAAAUCAGAGACAGCUGGAAUAUAUAGGUUUGUCAAACUAAUCUUGUGGGGCAAUAGUCAUAAGAAAUGGAGUUAGGAUGGAGUGUACUAGUCCUGGCUUGGUUUUGCUUCCGUUCUUCUUUCCAACCUACUUUUGCUCGUAAACUGGAACACUGUUUGAGGCAGGGGCUGUGUUCCAUGUCCAUGGAGUGUGAGAUUACGUGUCAUGGGACUCCCAUCUUGACUAAAGUCUUCCAGCUGAAUCAUCGCUUAUGCAGGUAAUGGUCAUACAUAAAAUACCAGUAUCUGAACAACAUAUUUGCUAUUCUAGCUUUGCCUGUCAGUUCAAAUCCGCUUUUACGUUUUGUUUUGCUAUUCAAUGUUACCUUUAGGUUUAAGUGCAUUUUUCCAGCAGCUAUGCAGUGAUUUCAAUGCAUUAACACAUUUUCAAUAUGAAACAGCGCAAGAAGCGGAUUCAGAAUACAUCCCUUAGAAGAAAGUACUGCAUAGGUAAAUAUCAUUUGAGAACCUUUUUCAAGGGUUUGUCUAUAUCCUUGAGGGAAUGAAUUAAAAUAAAUGUCCCCUCACUCUAAUGAGACCCUAACUGUAUCAAGAAGAAUAGGGUCAACCUUAAGUAUCUUGUGCUCGAGUUGAAAUUUGAUUGCAAUGACUUAUACAGUAGAGUUAACAAAAAUAUUUUAAUUUUUAUUAUUGUUGGUGUUAUUAUUCAUGAAAGUGUUAGAGCUGUCACUUCAAAGGCAAAAUGCUACUAAACACACUGAGAGCAGACAGAAAUGUUGUUAACAUAAUGAACAUACACACUCAGAGACAGCCACUUUUUACCAACAUUAAAUCCUUAGAUGCUUUUAUAACUAUGAACAAAAUUAUUAUUGAUAAUAGUAUUAAUAAUUAUUGUUACAAUAGCUACACUUUUUGAUCGUAACAUCCAUUUCACCAACACAGAAGAAUUUGCAGAAUUAUGUACAUUCAAGGACCUGUUUUUUGAGAGCUGAGACAUUUUGAAUUGAAACAUCUAAGGAAGCAAAUGUCAGGAUGGAGAGAAAAAAAAAAAGCACAACUAAUCUGCUACAAUUCAGCUUCUUCAUAAUUGGAAAAUACGUAUUCAGAGAUGUCAGACAUUUGUACCAGCACUGUUUUCUCUGAAUGGUGAGGCUUUAUUUAACAUGCCCACGUAUAACUGACUUGGGUGAGGACCUUCUUCCCUGACCUGUGGUCUUCCAAGGCCUGAGAUGGGAUAUCUUUAACCCGAUUUAAAGGGAGCUUCAUAUCUGAUGCAAUGUAAGUUCAGCAGAAGUCCAAGAGACAAAAAUAGGUAAAAUGAGAUGGAAAUCUUCACAAAAAAAAUGUAAUACCUCAUGUACAAACACAUCCAAAUGCAUUCUGAAACUUCAGUUACUGGAAUUCUGUUGUCAAAUGUCUUUGUAUUGCUGGGAAUCGUAUACUCUUCUGUUCAACAGCAGUCUCAGAAGAGGGUGGAGAAACAAGCAACACGUAUUAUUCAAAUACAGAGAAAGGGACUGAGUCAGUCCUCCAAAGCAAUGUCCAUGGAUGUGGUUAGAACACACCUCAGAAGUCAUGUCUCCAGUCUGGAGCAUCUGAAAUUCCUUCUCACACUGGAUGGUGUUUCAGGAAACAACAGCAAAAGGCCAGAGCUGGGUGAGACUGUGGCCAUCCCAGUGAGGUCUGCAGACUGAAUCCAGAGCUGUCUGACCGAGACCAGAUAUGCAGCUGACAUGAGUGUCCAGUUCAGCCUUCACUGCUGGAGCAAUGCCAAUGCUGGUGCUUUCAUUUGGGGGAUUUUUUUCUCUUGAAAAAAUUACAGUCACAAUAAAGAUAAAAAGGAGUGUUUGUUUGCCUUUGUGUGUGUGUGAAUGCAUGCAACUACUGAGACUGUUAGAAAGAUUAGAUGCAGAAUAAGUAAAUGUUGCCCUUUCUAAAAUUUCACACAUAAUUUAAAGCUAUAAAUUUCCAUGAAAAACAUUUUAUUCACUUUGUGAACCAUAAACAAUUUAUACGAUAAUGGGUCCUCUGAAAUGAAAACACUGUUUCUGUAGGUAGACUGUCACGGUGACUGUGUGAUCUAUAUAUAUACAAAGUGGUUAACAAAAUAAGCACACUUGUUUAUCAAAACAUUAUGCAGAGUUAUCUGCUGUAAAAGGCAUUCCUGUUUUUUUUUUUUCUUAUUUUGUAUAAUAACUUAAUACCAAAAUAUUAUUAGAUACAUCAAAAACACCCGCAGGUACAUUUUCUGCAAGUCAAGAGUAUUUUAAAUGCAUUGUGAUGUAUUUGUGAAAAGGGAUGAUUUUACAAACUGAUGCUAAAAACAUUAUUUUUAAAUACUGUGUCACAAAGGAAAAAAUGAAUACACACAUCAUGACUGUGGCUGAAUAAUUACAUUUGUGGCACAAACUUAAAGAAGUCAGAAAAGUCACAGAUAGGACACACUUUUCACUUCUCACUUUUCCUGACUUCUUGGUUUCUAUCUCAUCCUUGAUACUAUCUAAAUGCUGUUUCAGCCUGUGAAUUGAAUUUUCUUUUAAUUUGAGCAGAUCAUAUAUUCAUUUGUUGACACUCUAUCUUCAUCAACCAAUGCAUUAUGCCAGGCAGCUUCAUCUCCUUCUGAAAGAUAACCUUGGAUUAUGUCAUGGCUCAAUUCUUCAUUGCCCCUACAGGGAUAAUGAAUUCGCGCAUGUAAGAGGAUCAUUUACCAAUGGGGGUGGGAUGCUGUUCUGAGCAUAUCAUUUCCAUCUGCCGCAGGAUGAUUCCAUUUGCAAAAAUCGAUCUCCUGGAGGAGGAUUUCUUAGCUAUGAACAGCCACUGCCACGAGAAAAUUGCUGAAAUACUUCUGAGCUAAUAUACAUGUGACAGCUGCUUCCAAGGGUUACAAAGGUGGGGAAAGAAUGUGAAUAAGAUUCUUCAGGGAGGUUUCUUCUCAGGUAGACAAAGGGAAGAAGUACAUUAGCAGUAUAAAACAUUACUGCAUCACCCACAUUGUGCAUGCCAUGGUCAGGACCAAACCAAAUACCUCUGGGGUCUUGAGAGAGCUCAAUAGAUUGAGGGCCUUCUCUAGCACAAUUUCCCAUGUAUCUGCAAGUUCAGUAAAGCUCUUUAUGAGGGUCCACCUCCCUGUUUGUUUCUCCUAAGCAAGCAAAGCAUUUGCAAAGACAAAUUGCUGCCGGUUGGAGCACUGACGCCAGCAAGGGGUGGAGCAGCUGCUAUGGUUGUGCAAGGCUUUAGGCCAUGCCAGUGACAGCAGGGACCAAGGUCACCCCCCGUUCAGCAGAGGCAAGCCCUGGGGCCAGGCCAGGACCACCAGCCAGGAGCUGCAGCCCACAGCAGGCUCUCCUUUCUGUGCUAUGGGUUGGUUCAGUCAUCAUCUCCUCCUCCCUUCCCCCUUUUUAAUUAAAUACAGAGGGUGACAUUUUGGCCUAAAGUCAAUAGUUUUUUUACCAUCGAUUUCAAUGUGGCAAGAAUUUCGUCCAAACCCUUCAUGCCUCAAUAAGGACAAUAACACAAAGAACACUAUUUUGGAACAGAGAAAGGCACCAUAUUUGCCAGCUGCUUUGUUUAUUGUGUUUGGGGGCUUCAUGAUGUAGUCGCCCACCCACUUCUUUAUUAAAUGUUAGUUCGGCAUUUGGAAGUUGUAUAAGCUGCAAUAUAAUAAUAAUUAAAAGUUUGUAUGCAAUUGCCAAAGCUGGUUUUCAUUCCUUAGGGAGUAUUAAUUCUGGUUUAAUUUGUUUUUCAUCUUCAUUGUGCAACAAAACACAGUUUGUUUUUAAAAGGAGGAUCAAACUGAUACUGAAAUAUGCAUACAUGUGUUGGCAGGCAUUUCUUUAGGAGAGCUGCAGCCUAUGAACUUGGACUUCAAACAACAAAUGUGCAGAGCUCGCAUGAACUUGAAGUUGCCCUUUUGUUUGUGACAUCCAUAAACAUUUAUGAUGCUUUGUUUUUAAUCCCAGUAAGCCUAUGUUGUUACUCUGGGUCUCUUAAUAGUGUCUAUUUAUAUUGUGAAAUCAUGACAACUGUGUUGUCUUCCCGUAAAGCCAAAGGUCAAGGGGCUGCUACAGCAAAUACUAACACAUGUGAAUAACUUUACUCAUACUAAUAAUCAGAGUGAUUUUAACAGGGAGGUGUUUUUAGGGUCAGGCUUCCAAUAUUUUGACAUACUUCCUGAAAUGUUUUGUAGAUAGGAGUCAUUGACUUUCAUAUGGUGAUAAAAUGCUCUGAAUACACACUGACACACACACACACAUGCACACACACACACACACACAACCACCAAAAGACAGGAAUAUGUUUGAAAUACAUUUAAAAUUACAGUUUUACUUGUUAGCUUUCUUUUCCUGGAUACAAAUAGUGUUGGAAGAGCACUUACUCCAAAGAGAUUAAAUAGAAUUAGUGUCAACGAUUUCUGUAAGUCAGUCUAUAUAAUAUUCCUGCCCUCUGUGUGGAACCACAUGUUUGGAGGUCUCAGUGUAGUUUUUCGCCUUCAUCUUGUGGGAAAGAAUGAUGGAAUUAAUUACUAUUGCAACAGUGAUUUAUUGCAUUUUAUAAUUUAUAUUGUGUACAGAUCAUUGCUAUGAUGAAAUAGGCAAAUGUAUAUGAAAGAACACUCUCUUUAAUCAUAAGAACAAUAAAAAUUCAUGCUUCCUACAAUAAACAUUAUUCUACUUUUAAGGCUAUACCUAACUGUGAUACAUGUGCUGUGAAAGUAAAUAGGAGAUAGACACACAAAAUUCUAAACAUACAAGGUGUACAUAAACUUGAAAUGUUCAGAAUAAGUAUCUUGCCUUUUAAAGAAAAUUUCUUAGUUGUCUGUUGAGACACUGUGGUGUUCCUUGGAAAGGUUUUUAUGAAUAUAUUAAUCCAGUUUUUCCUGUUGUUUGCACAGAUUCCAGCUGUGUUAAAAUGCAAUUCUUGCAAAAACUUGUCUCAGAAGAUCAUGUCAGGAACAACUUGGCUUUCUGCUUUUUAUUGGAAUAUUUUCAAGGGUUUGCCAUGUUGCAUCCUGAACCUUAUUCUCAAAAUACGUAUUCUAAGCCUAUGAUUUAACUCCUACUGUUAAAUUAGAUAGAAGCUUUACAUAUGUUUAUUCUUCCUAUAAAGGUGGAAAUGGAAGAGCUGGUCUACACUUGAAAAUCUAUGAACAUCAGUUUUGAAAUUUCUAAACAUAGUAGCUAUUUUCUUCAUAUUACCUUGCUAAAGUAUCCUGUUUGAAACAUUUCUUUAAGUAAUAAUGCCGCAAAACUUGCAAAGGCUCUGCAGUCUAGGUGUCAUAACCUUCCUGGUAAUGAAAGGAAUGUAUUUUCCAUUAACACUGAGUCAUGUGCAUGGUCUGUCCAGUGAUAUGCAAUGUCAUUUAAGACAUUCCAUCAUUCACUUGCUUGAGCACUCUUCUCUAAUCUGAUGAGGUACGCAAGGAAGAAACAAUGAUAGCCAAGGCAUUAAAAUGUAAUCAAGAUAUGCAAAUUCAUAUUCAAAUGUGAUUUGCUUGGAAAGAAAAAUUAAUCUAGGCAUGGUCAAAUAAACAGUGUGUAAUAUGGAUAAUUAAUCACCAAAUUAGCAACUGUAGUCCCAUGAGAA